rnacentral:lncRNA from 1 species
AUCUGUCUCUAACCCAAGUUCUAAAUUCUAUCAGGAUUGAAGAACAACAUCGCCUUAGAGAAAAAUCCCACUCCUCCAAUCCUUUGCCCAAAAUCAACAAUGUUGAAUCCAAGCCCAAAUCCAAAAAUCAGAAUCGUUCUUUCCGACCCAACCACAACAAGUCCUUCAAGAAGAAAUCAUUCAACCAUAGGAACUCCUUUCAGCCCAACAACAGAAAACCCAACUUCUCUCAGAACCAGAAGAAAGAGAAAGAAGGAGAAUAUGUUCCUUGCUAUUUUGUCUGUGGUCGGACCAA